GGGCUUGACAUCCCACGAAUCCUGCCGAAAGGCAGGAGUGCCCGCAAGGGAGCGCGGAGACAGGUGGUGCAUGGCUGUCGUCAGCUCGUGUCGUGAGAUGUUGGGUUAAGUCCCGCAACGAGCGCAACCCUCACCCCUUGUUGCCACCAGGUCAUGCUGGGCACUCUAGGGGAACUGCCCCGGUCAACGGGGAGGAAGGCGGGGACGACGUCAAGUCAUCAUGCCCCUUACGUCCUGGGCUACACACGUGCUACAAUGGCCGGUACAGAGGGAUGCAAGACCGCGAGGUGGAGCUAAACCCAAAAAGCCGGUCUAAGUUCAGAUUGGAGUCUGCAACUCGACUCCAUGAAGGAGGAAUCGCUAGUAAUCGCGUAUCAGCACGACGCGGUGAAUACGUUCCCGGGCCUUGUACACACCGCCCGUCACACCACGAAAGCCUGUUGUACUCGAAGUCGCUGAG
rnacentral:rRNA from 1 species